rnacentral:rRNA from 1 species
UAGGGAAUCUUCCACAAUGGGCGCAAGCCUGAUGGAGCAACACCGCGUGAGUGAGGAAGGGUUUCGGCUCGUAAAGCUCUGUUGUUAAAGAAGAACACGUAUGAGAGUAACUGUUCAUACGUUGACGGUAUUUAACCAGAAAGUCACGGCUAACUACGUGCCAGCAGCCGCGGUAAUACGUAGGUGGCAAGCGUUAUCCGGAUUUAUUGGGCGUAAAGAGAGUGCAGGCGGUUUUCUAAGUCUGAUGUGAAAGCCUUCGGCUUAACCGGAGAAGUGCAUCGGAAACUGGAUAACUUGAGUGCAGAAGAGGGUAGUGGAACUCCAUGUGUAGCGGUGGAAUGCGUAGAUAUAUGGAAGAACACCAGUGGCGAAGGCGGCUACCUGGUCUGCAACUGACGCUGAGACUCGAAAGCAUGGGUAGCGAACAGGAUUAGAUACCCUGGUAGUCCAUGCCGUAAACGAUGAGUGCUAGGUGUUGGAGGGUUUCCGCCCUUCAGUGCCGGAGCUAACGCAUUAAGCACUCCGCCUGGGGAGUACGACCGCAAGGUU